AACAUCAUAAAGCGUCACCCCGCUAAACCUAAUUAUCGCCUUCGUUCAUACGAAUCUCGGCGGCGAGAAUAACGAUCCAUCGUUCUCCUUCUCCCUGUAACAGAACUAGACUUUAAUGGCAUCAAUGCGUCCGUCGAGAUCUCCGUUAUAAAUAGGUUUUUUUUUUUUCUGAUUUGAAGACCAGGAAGUGUUCAAACGUUAAGCGGGAUGGAUAUUGCGGCUUCAUCUAAUCUCUUUGCAAUCUAAUCGCGUCUUCACACAGCUUCUUCCCCGUUUAUCUCCGCAGCAAACAGGAAUUGAGUUUUUAUCCUCGCCAAAUCAUGCCCAGACAAUCAGAGCUUCGGUUCGAACGAUUCCAAUUUUCACUGGAGACAAACCAACGA